UACGGGGGGAGCAAGCGUUGUUCGGAUUUACUGGGCGUAAAGGGCGCGUAGGCGGUCAGCACAAGUCAGUUGUGAAAUCUCCGGGCUUAACUCGGAAAGGUCAACUGAUACUGUGCGACUAGAGUGCAGAAGGGGCAACUGGAAUUCUCGGUGUAGCGGUGAAAUGCGUAGAUAUCGAGAGGAACACCUGCGGCGAAGGCGGCGACCUGGGUAGAUACUGACGCUGAGGUGCGAAAGCGUGGGGAGCAAACAGG
rnacentral:rRNA from 1 species